GUAGGAGUGAGCCUGCUCGCGAUUGCGGUGAGUCAGUCAAUCAAGAUGUCGGCUGACACGACGCAAUCGCGAGCAGGCUCACUCCUAC
rnacentral:misc_RNA from 1 species